rnacentral:rRNA from 1 species
GCCAGACUCCUACGGGAGGCAGCAGUGGGGGAUAUUGCACAAUGGGGGGAACCCUGAUGCAGCGACGCCGCGUGGGUGAAGGAGCGUUUCGGCGCGUAAAGCCCUAUCGGCAGGGAAGAAGGAGGACGGUACCUGACUAAGAAGCCCCGGCUAACUACGUGCCAGCAGCCGCGGUAAUACGUAGGGGGCAAGCGUUAUCCGGAUUUACUGGGUGUAAAGGGGGCGCAGACGGCAGCGCAAGCCAGGAGUGAAAGCCCGGGGCCCAGCCCCGGGACUGCUCUUGGAACUGCGCGGCUGGAGUGCAGGAGGGGCAGGCGGAAUUCCUGGUGUAGCGGUGAAAUGCGUAGAUAUCAGGAGGAACACCGGUGGCGAAGGCGGCCUGCUGGACUGCGACUGACGUUGAGGCCCGAAAGCGUGGGGAGCAAACAGGAUUAGAUACCCGAGUAUA